UUAAGUUAGUAAGGGCGCACGGUGGAUGCCUUGGCACUAGGAGCCGAAGAAGGACGUGACAAACGACGAUAUGCCUUGGGUAGCUGUAAGUAAGCGAUGAUCCAGGGAUUUCCGAAUGGGGGAACCCAACAGGUACUACCUGUUACCCAUAUCUGUUAAGGAUAUGAGGAGGAAGACGCAGUGAACUGAAACAUCUAAGUAGCUGCAGGAAGAGAAAGCAAAAGCGAUUGCCUUAGUAGCGGCGAGCGAAACGGCAGGAGGGCAAACCGAAGAGUUUACUCUUCGGGGUUGUAGGACUGCAAUGUGGACUCAGAAUUUAUAGAAGAAUGGCUUGGGAAAGUCAGCCAAAGAGAGUAAGAGCCUCGUAUUUUAAAUAGAUUCUGUACCUAGCAGUAUCCUGAGUACGGCGGGACACGUGAAAUCCCGUCGGAAUCUGGGAGGACCAUCUCCCAACCCUAAAUACUCCCUAGUGACCGAUAGUGAACCAGUACCGUGAGGGAAAGGUGAAAAGCACCCCGGGAGGGGAGUGAAAUAGAACCUGAAACCGUGUGCCUACAACAAGUUCGAGCCCGUUAAUGGGUGAGAGCGUGCCUUUUGUAGAAUGAACCGGCGAGUUACGAUAUGAUGCGAGGUUAAGUUGAAGAGACGGAGCCGUAGGGAAACCGAGUCUGAAUAGGGCGCUUUAGUAUCAUGACGUAGACCCGAAACCAUGUGACCUACCCAUGAGCAGGUUGAAGGUGCGGUAAAACGCACUGGAGGACCGAACCAGGGCACGUUGAAAAGUGCUUGGAUGACUUGUGGGUAGCGGAGAAAUUCCAAACGAACUUGGAGAUAGCUGGUUCUCUCCGAAAUAGCUUUAGGGCUAGCGUCGACAUAAAGAUUCUUGGAGGUAGAGCACUGUUUGGGUGAGGGGUCCAUCCCGGAUUACCAAUCUCAGAUAAACUCCGAAUGCCAAUGAAUUAUGGUCGGCAGUCAGACUGCGAGUGCUAAGAUCCGUAGUCGAAAGGGAAACAGCCCAGACCACCAGCUAAGGUCCCAAAAUAAUUGUUAAGUGGAAAAGGAUGUGGGGUUGCACAGACAACUAGGAUGUUAGCUUAGAAGCAGCUAUUCAUUCAAAGAGUGCGUAAUAGCUCACUAGUCGAGUGACCCUGCGCCGAAAAUGUACCGGGGCUAAAACAAUUUACCGAAGCUGUGGAUACCUUUAUAGGUAUGGUAGGAGAGCGUUCUAUGUGUGAAGAAGGUGUACCGUGAGGAGUGCUGGAACGCAUAGAAGUGAGAAUGCCGGUAUGAGUAGCGAAAGACAGGUGAGAAUCCUGUCCACCGUAAGACUAAGGUUUCCAGGGGAAGGCUCGUCCGCCCUGGGUUAGUCGGGACCUAAGGAGAGACCGAAAGGUGUAUCCGAUGGACAACAGGUUGAUAUUCCUGUACUAGAGUAUGUAGUGAUGGAGGGACGCAGUAGGCUAACUAAAGCAGACGAAUGGAAGAGUCUGUCUAAGCAGUGAGGUGUGAAUUGAGUCAAAUGCUUAGUUCUAUAACAUUGAGCUGUGAUGGGGAGCGAAGUUUAGUAGCGAAGUUAGUGACGUCACACUGCCAAGAAAAGCUUCUAGCGUUUAAACAUACUCUACCCGUACCGCAAACCGACACAGGUAGUCGAGGCGAGUAGCCUCAGGUGAGCGAGAGAACUCUCGUUAAGGAACUCGGCAAAAUGACCCCGUAACUUCGGGAGAAGGGGUGCUGACUUUACGUCAGCCGCAGUGAAUAGGCCCAAGCAACUGUUUAUCAAAAACACAGCUCUCUGCUAAAUCGUAAGAUGAUGUAUAGGGGGUGACGCCUGCCCGGUGCUGGAAGGUUAAGAGGAGUGCUUAGAGGUAACUCGAAGGUAUGAAUUGAAGCCCCAGUAAACGGCGGCCGUAACUAUAACGGUCCUAAGGUAGCGAAAUUCCUUGUCGGGUAAGUUCCG
rnacentral:rRNA from 1 species